rnacentral:rRNA from 1 species
UACGUAGGGUGCAAGCGUUAAUCGGAAUUACUGGGCGUAAAGCGUGCGUAGACGGUAGCGUAAGUCGGGUGUGAAAGCCCCGGGCUCAACCUGGGAAUGGCAUUCGAGACUGCUCUGCUAGGGUGCGGAAGAGGGGAGCGGAAUUUCCGGUGUAGCGGUGAAAUGCGUAGAUAUCGGAAGGAACACCAGUGGCGAAAGCGGCUCCCUGGUCCAGCACCGACGUUCAGGCACGAAAGCGUGGGGAGCAAACAGG